AUGUUAUUUUCUUACACAUUUUAUUUUUUAUUUAAAAACACAAAACACCAAAAAAACAAAAAAAAAAAAAAGGAAAAAAAAAAAAAAAAAAAAAAAAAAAAAAAAAAAAAAAAAAAAAAAAAAAAAAAGGAUCCUCCUCGCACGAUGGCGUUUUUCUGCUCUCGGGGUAAGGAGCCAGGGGAGCAGCGGGCCCCAUCCGGGUGGUCCCACGCCUCGGGGACACAUCCCAUGGGAAGGCCACAGGAGCGGGGGGAUGGCGAGGGAGGUGUCGCGUCCCCCCCCGGGCGGGGCUGGUCCCCACGCGUGGGGUGGCUGUGCCCAUCCCCCCGAAAUCAGGGCCUGCGAUGCUAUGCAAUAAUGGGGGGCGAGCCCCGGCCGGGGGGGUGCGGGAGGAGGGACACGGGCACUCCCCGCGUCCCUGCGCUUCCACAAGCACUUUGGGCACCUGCGGGGGUGACAAAACACUUUAGGUGUGGCUUGUUCGGGCUGUCGCAGCGAUGGGGGCACCCAGGGAAUCCGUUCCCUCCUUCCCUCCCCCCAAAACGUGAGCGGGGCAGGGCUGGCGCUGUGGGGAUGGUGAGCGCAGCCGGGGUGCCCCGCACCCCAAAGUCUGGGAGGCCAAGGAAGGGCUCUCCUCGUCCAGCUGGGGCUCUGGGGGCGCUGCUUUCUCCCCUUCCACACGAGUUGUUUACAUGGGGUGGGAUUUUCAUCCAAAGAGGGGUCCGGGUUGCUGGAGUCCCCGAGGGGGAAGCCUCUGUCACCACGCGUGUCACUGCUGAUGCUGCCACUUUACUUCGCUUCGUUAGAGAAGCGCCGGGCCCCGACAUUCCUGUGCCGUGUGAUGUGUUGUGUGCGGCUGCUGAGACCGUGAUGAAGUGUCCUUUAUCCUGUGCUUUGCUUUUGGCCGGGAGGUGGAAUCGUGCAUUCGCUGCUGAAGCCAGGAAGGAGCCGAGCAGCCCCGGAGAGGUGGCGGGGCUGGGGUUGGGACACCCAGGGUGGCUCAGGGCACAGGGGGGUCCUGCCAGGGCUCCUGGCAUUGGAGACUUGGGAGAGCUGAGUCUGGUACCCAAAUAUUCUGCUUUGCUGUAG
rnacentral:lncRNA from 1 species